rnacentral:rRNA from 1 species
UGGAGGUUGUCGGGNNCGNGAAGAAUGCGAGUCGUUAAAACAGGAGAGGGAUGCUUCGCUNACCACGCGAUGUAUUCGGCUGGANCUGGAGAUGGAGUAAGCACGGUAGGCGUCAACCGUGCCUGUAAGACCGGGAUAAUCUCCGGGAAACCGGAGCUAAUACCGGAUAGUUCCUUGAACCAGCAUGGUUCAAGGAUGAAAGACGGUUUCGGCUGUCACUUACAGAUGGACCCGCGGCGCCAUUAGCUAGUUGGUGGGGUAAUGGCUCACCAAGGCGACGAUGCGUAGCCGACCUGAGAGGGUGAUCGGCCACACUGGGACUGAGACACGGCCCAGAACUCCUACGGGAGGCAGCAGUAGGGAAUCUUCCGCAAUGGACGAAAGUCUGACGGAGCAACGCCGCGUGAGUGAUGAAGGUUUUCGGAUCGUAAAGCUCUGUUGUUAGGGAAGAACAAGUGCGAGAGUAACUGCUCGCACCUUGACGGUAACCUAACCAGAAAGCCACGGUAACUACGUGCCAGACACGCCGCGGUAAUACGUAGGUGGCAGCGUUGUCCGGAAUUAUUGGGCGUCAAAGGGCUCGCACGCGCAGGGUUUCUUAAGUCUGAUCGUUGNAACAGCACCCCGAGANUCAACCAGGGGGCAGGGGUCAUUNGGCACAACUUGGGGAAAACUUGAAGUGCAGAAAGACGGGAGAAGUUGGAAUUCCACAGUGUUAGCGG